ACACACACACACCCAAGUGAAGUGAAGUCACACUCUUUGCUUGCUUUUCCCUCUUUUCUUUUUCCAUCAUUAUUACACUCUGCACUCUUCUGUCAACAAAACCCUACAUUUUCAAAUCUAGGGUUUUGUUUUCUUAAUGCGUUACAGCUAUGACUCCUGAACUACCCACUUUCAUUUUUUUCAGUUUUCUCUCUUCAAUCUAACCUCCUCAAUCUCCUACAUUUCCCCUCUUUCAUGGGUUUUCAAUGUUGCUUCUGUUUCACCUUAAAAAUCCAUUCUUUUUAGAUCCCCUUUGUGUUUUCUCUGCAUAUUGUUACAAAAUCUAGUCUUUUCUUUUCAUCACUGUCAAAAGUUCAUUUUUUUCAUCUGGGUUCUUAGUUUAAGUGUUAAAAAAAAUUGGGGUUGAAGAGGAAAAGUUAGUGUAUUAGUUUAGUUAUCACAGUUAAGAUUUUUUCAUAGUUAAUGCAUGGAUGAUAGAGAAGCUAUGGCAUUCUCUGAUG
rnacentral:lncRNA from 1 species